ACGGAAGGCAGCAGUGGGGAAUAUUGGACAAUGGGGGAAACCCUGAUCCAGCGACGCCGCGUGAGUGAAGAAGUAUUUCGGUAUGUAAAGCUCUAUCAGCAGGGAAGAUAAUGACGGUACCUGACUAAGAAGCCCCGGCUAACUACGUGCCAGCAGCCGCGGUAAUACGUAGGGGGCAAGCGUUAUCCGGAUUUACUGGGUGUAAAGGGAGCGUAGACGGCGAGACAAGUCUGAAGUGAAAGCCCGGGGCUCAACUCCGGGACUGCUUUGGAAACUGUUUUGCUAGAGUGCAGGUGAGGUAAGUGGAAUUCCUAGUGUAGCGGUGAAAUGCGUAGAUAUUAGGAGGAACACCAGUGGCGAAGGCGGCUUACUGGACUGUAACUGACGUUGAGGCUCGAAAGCGUGGGGAGCAAACAGGAUUAGAUACCCUGGUA
rnacentral:rRNA from 1 species